GAGCUUGCUCCACCGGAAAAAGAAGAGUGGCGAACGGGUGAGUAACACGUGGGUAACCUGCCCAUCAGAAGGGGAUAACACUUGGAAACAGGUGCUAAUACCGUAUAACAAUCGAAACCGCAUGGUUUUGAUUUGAAAGGCGCUUUCGGGUGUCGCUGAUGGAUGGACCCGCGGUGCAUUAGCUAGUUGGUGAGGUAACGGCUCACCAAGGCCACGAUGCAUAGCCGACCUGAGAGGGUGAUCGGCCACAUUGGGACUGAGACACGGCCCAAACUCCUACGGGAGGCAGCAGUAGGGAAUCUUCGGCAAUGGACGAAAGUCUGACCGAGCAACGCCGCGUGAGUGAAGAAGGUUUUCGGAUCGUAAAACUCUGUUGUUAGAGAAGAACAAGGAUGAGAGUAACUGUUCAUCCCUUGACGGUAUCUAACCAGAAAGCCACGGCUAACUACGUGCCAGCAGCCGCGGUAAUACGUAGGUGGCAAGCGUUGUCCGGAUUUAUUGGGCGUAAAGCGAGCGCAGGCGGUUUCUUAAGUCUGAUGUGAAAGCCCCCGGCUCAACCGGGGAGGGUCAUUGGAAACUGGGAGACUUGAGUGCAGAAGAGGAGAGUGGAAUUCCAUGUGUAGCGGUGAAAUGCGUAGAUAUAUGGAGGAACACCAGUGGCGAAGGCGGCUCUCUGGUCUGUAACUGACGCUGAGGCUCGAAAGCGUGGGGAGCAAACAGGAUUAGAUACCCUGGUAGUCCACGCCGUAAACGAUGAGUGCUAAGUGUUGGAGGGUUUCCGCCCUUCAGUGCUGCAGCUAACGCAUUAAGCACUCCGCCUGGGGAGUACGACCGCAAGGUUGAAACUCAAAGGAAUUGACGGGGGCCCGCACAAGCGGUGGAGCAUGUGGUUUAAUUCGAAGCAACGCGAAGAACCUUACCAGGUCUUGACAUCCUUUGACCACUCUAGAGAUAGAGCUUCCCCUUCGGGGGCAAAGUGACAGGUGGUGCAUGGUUGUCGUCAGCUCGUGUCGUGAGAUGUUGGGUUAAGUCCCGCAACGAGCGCAACCCUUAUUGUUAGUUGCCAUCAUUCAGUUGGGCACUCUAGCAAGACUGCCGGUGACAAACCGGAGGAAGGUGGGGAUGACGUCAAAUCAUCAUGCCCCUUAUGACCUGGGCUACACACGUGCUACAAUGGGAAGUACAACGAGUCGCGAAGUCGCGAGGCUAAGCUAAUCUCUUAAAGCUUCUCUCAGUUCGGAUUGUAGGCUGCAACUCGCCUACAUGAAGCCGGAAUCGCUAGUAAUCGCGGAUCAGCACGCCGCGGUGAAUACGUUCCCGGGCCUUGUACACACCGCCCGUCACACCACGAGAGUUUGUAACACCCGAAGUCGGUGAGGUAACCUUUGGAGCCAG
rnacentral:rRNA from 1 species